UGAGGAAUAUUGCGCAAUGGACGAAAGUCUGACGCAGCCAUGCCGCGUGCAGGAUUGAAGGCCCUAUGGGUUGUAAACUGCUUUUAUAUGGGAAUAAACCUUUCCUCGUGAGGGAAGCUGAAGGUACCAUAAGAAUAAGCACCGGCUAACUCCGUGCCAGCAGCCGCGGUAAUACGGAGGGUGCAAGCGUUAUCCGGAUUUAUUGGGUUUAAAGGGUCCGUAGGCGGACCAUUAAGUCAGUGGUGAAAGCCCAUAGCUCAACUAUGGAAUUGCCAUUGAUACUGGUGGUCUUGAGUACAGUUGAAGUUGGCGGAAUGUGUGGUGUAGCGGUGAAAUGCUUAGAUAUCACACAGAACACCGAUUGCGAAGGCAGCUAACUAAGUUGUAACUGACGCUGAGGGACGAAAGUGUGGGGAUCAAACA
rnacentral:rRNA from 1 species